ensembl:lncRNA
CCGGGUGUCCACCGGGUGUCCAUCGGGUGUCCAGCGGGUGUCCACCGGGUGUCAAACGGCUUCAUUUUCAUGGCAGAAUGCCGGAGGAAGUGGAAGACGCUGCGGGACCAGCACCGCAGGGAGAGGCAGCGGGAGAAGGACCGGCGGGAGAGCGGCAUCGGCCUCUUCAACUACCGGCCCUGGAGAUAUUCGGCCAUCUUGUCCUUUCUGAACCCGUUCAUCGACGCCAGAGCCGCGGGCUGCAACGGGUGGGCUCUGGACCCUCAGCCCCCCCAGCUCCACCCCUCUGAGACGGGCUGCAGCACCACCACGGACACCCGGAGCGACGACGAAGACCACUACGACGUCUCCGUAGUCGACGCCACAACAACCACCACCUCCUCCUCCUCCUCCUCGGAGUUCCUCCACAGGAAGCGUCCGUCUUCUGCCAGCAGAGACGGCGCCAUCGGGUUCAAGGAGGCGAAGAUGGAGUCAACCUCGGGGAUCGCCUGCGUUACGACGACGCCGCACGACAACAUGAGGGAGCUCUUUGAGGUGAUGAUGCAGUCGGUCACGUCUCUCGCCGCCUCCUUGGCCUCUUCCUCGGAUCAGCCUCCUCGUCCCGACCUCCGUCACCUCCCGCCACACCGAGCCCCCCCCGUGCCGCCCUGCACCGCGUCUAGGCUCAACCACUUGAAAACAGAGGAGCAGGAGGCCGUAGCGGCAGAGCUUCUGGACGACCGAACCGACGCCGAGGAGGAGGAGGAGGAGGAGGAGGCGUCCACUAGGCCGACCCGAGCCAGGAGCUGGAGCAGCGACGGCCUGCUGCAGGAGUACGUGAGGAGGAUGGAGGCCAGGGAGGCCCAGAGAGACCGGGACCUGGACCAGAGAGACCAUGUGACCCUGUUCCUCCUGAGCCUGGCUCCGGCCAUGAGGAGACUUCCUGCUGAGAAGCAGUCGUGGGUCAGGACCAAGAUGCAGCAGCUGCUGCACGAGGCCGAGUUCGGCGCUUUGAGUUUUCAGUGAUCCUUACAUGUUUUACAUUUUUAUCAAUACUUGUGAACUAAAAAAUAUAUUCACCUUCGAAGGAGUUUUUCUCCAUUUCUAUGAUAAUCUAACAGGUUUGUGCAGUUUUUUAAAAUAAAAACCCCAUUGUCAGUCA